UCUCUCUGCAGCCAACUUCAUAGCCUUCUAACACUUGUGGAAAGACACUUAAUCCUUCUCAUCCUGCUAUUUGUCAUGGAUUUAACAUGGUUUUCCCAGUGGUGAAGAUAAUCUGACCACAGUUUAAGUGAUAAAUUUGAGAAGAUCAAGGGAACUUUCUAAGUAAAUAUAGAAAAUCUAUUUUUGAAGGAUUAACCUGUUUCUUUGUUGAAACAUGGCUGCAGCAGUGAUGUAACUUAUACCUGUCAUCUAGCAUCAUAAAUCUCUUGCUGUUCGUGCUUCACCCUGAAAACCACCAAAAAUAUAAUGUGUCAGAAUUCACACAAAGUAACAACAAUAUUUUGUUAAAAAUCAGCUUUAGCUUUAAGUUAUUGAAAAGGACAUGCAGGCAUCAUAGUGAGGUGUGUAAUGAUUUUUACAAGCCUAGAUGAAAAUGCCCUGUGGGGUGUGUAUAGUCCGUACAGCAGGAGCUGAGCUAACUAGCCAUAAAACAAUGAUGGAUGAUAUGAAGGUUUAAACAGCCACGUGUAAAUGCCACCGUGUUUAUGAGCCGUUUCUUGGUGUUCAUGAGGGUUUGUAAAAGGCACACUUCUUGCAUACUGAGUCUCUGACUUAAUAAAAGAUAACCAAGGUUAUAAGAAUUGUUUUUUUGGGGGUUUUUUUUUGGUGGUGGUAUUUUCGGUCAUUCAUUUAUUCAAACUGAAAGCUUCUGUUAUGCUAAAACUUAUGUGACCUGUACCCUUCUUUACUCUCUGUGAAGCCCAUUCAGAACCAAAUGCAACUUCAAAUACAUGCGUCAAAAUAAUUGCACCACAGUGGUCCACUUACUAGCUUUUUACGGAGCUUUCAGCUGUAUCUAAAGACAGGAGUCAGUGGCUAGCCAGAGUAAGAUCAAGUUGACAUUAUUUUGCCGCACAUAUUGUUCCCAUGGUCAAGAAUGAACUUCUAUGCCACUGUAAAGGAACAUUCAUUUACAUUACAUGACAUUAGUUUAGCAGACAUUUUUGUCGAAAGUGGACACAGCUACAGUACAUAUACACAAGCCUGCAUGCAGAGUUGUUUUAAACCUCACGUCUCCGUCGCUGCAGUAUUUCUCCUCACACGACUGCUUCUCCCCAAUGGCUCAAUUUCUCAGUUUCCACCAUUUUAGUGUACUAGCACACAGCAAUUAAAACUCCUCACCAAACAUUCAGUCAAUGAAUUUAAAGGUGUGUAGCUCACCCCGAGAUACAGAGCGAUCAAUAUAGCCAUCUCCAAGGUGAAUCUAUAGCAGCUCCCAAUAGACACAGAAAACCGCUGCACAAAGUGUAAAGAUACAGCCAUGUUUUCAAAAAUACAAAAACAAAAUAACAGUACAUAAAAUAAAGCACAGCCUUGUCUUUCCUUUUCUUUUGGUAUUGUUGCAGUAUUCUUAUUUUCUGCAGCAGUGCAGCCAUGGGAGGAGGACUUGUUUCAGAGAAGAAAGCAGAAGAGGAGAUGAUGAAGUCAGAGGGAAGAAGAGGCAGAAUGAAAGAAACAGGCCUGCAGAAAUCACAACAGGGAGCAUCUUUCUUCCUCUGCCUCUUUAAAAGUUGCCUCCACCAGCCUAUUCUCCUGGGCAAGGCAUCGGCAGCAGAGAGGAGACAUAUUGAGAGAGAGAGACAGGAGAUAUCAGCACUCAGUAUCUAAUCUCCCUACCCUUUCUGAUGCACCCUGGAGUAACCUCUCCAGCAUCAACACAGGCAGAUAGAUAGGAGUUGACAGCUGCACAGGCUAAAACCCAGCACCCGAGCUUUACAGCUAAAGGUUGCUGUUGUGCGAGCGAGGCUCUCAUGGGGCGAGCUGACGGCACGGAUAAACAAGUGAACUGGCUUGUUGGAUGCACAUACACACACCUUUCUGCAUAGAGAAACGCACACACACUAUCCUUCCAGCACUCACUAAACUGAAGUACAUAUUCUUGCACACACAUAACACAAAAUGGGCUUUUCGAGAGGAAGCAUAUAGUCAUAUAGCUUUGCACACACACACACACACACACGAGCAGAUGUAUAGUCUGUCACUCCCUUACACUCCUUUCCUUCUCUGCCUCUAUUAAGGCUGACAUUGAUGAAUGACAGAGAUUACAGGACAGGCCGCUGCUUAGCUUCAUCACAGAAUGAAUGCAAUCAAACACAGAGACACAGAAAGCAUCAAGGGAACUUAACACUCUACAAGAUGGAGGCGGGAGAGGUAACAGUACAGACAGUGUGAAAGUCUAUGUACGAGGAGGCAAGGGUUUACUUUGUGAAAAAAGACUGAAAUACAAAGAAGAAUUUCACAUGUCAAAACUCUGGCGGACAUGUUGGAGAUCCUCAGCACUCACACAUGUUGAUGAUUGGGUCUGUGUGGCUCCACUGGAAAAUCUGAAGGUCCGGGCCUGUAAUUUUCAAUCAUCUCAGAGCAGGAAAUCAGUCCUAACAAGCCAAAAAAUUCUCAGAGAGAUGUAUUUUGGUCCAACUUUUAGGCUUAUUAGUACAAGUAUCAACCUUCAGUGUGCAAAUGUACUGUCUCUGCUGAACUCCAGACAACUCCUAACUAACCUGUUACUGUUUUGACAAGAGUGGCAUAAUUUCUGUGACCUGUGCAGAAUGCAAUCACAAGAACAUACACUAUCUCUGCAGAAACCAAGAUCUUCGCAAGUUUAACCUUUUUGGCAACAAAUGCAGCUUUGCAACAGUGAUUAUUUGGGUCUGCCACAACCAACAAUUUUGGUAAUAAUUAAUCAGACUUCAUUUCUCUUACAUUGCCUUGGAUAAUGUGCAGACUCAUUUAUUCCCCCACCCAGUGUGAAGUCAAAACGCUUUAUUACUUCCAAUUACUGAUGGCAGGGCUAUAAUAUUUUAUAACAUGUUCAUGUUGUUAUAGGCUUUGGUGUAUUUCCUAAGACUGGGUGACUUUAUAGAAAUGCCUUACUUUUUCCCACUUGUAAGGUCUAAUACUAUAUAACAGUGGAGAUUCAGAACCGUGGAAGAGAAGGUUCCAUGUUCUCCAUGGAAUGGUGUGCCACACUGGGUUUUCAACAUUACUGCUGCAUGUGGAAUAUUGUAUAACAUAUGCAAGUGCCGCAAAUCCCACUACCACAAUAGAGGAAGAUCCUGACAGUGACAAUGAUGAUGAUAUUGUACAGUAUAUUAUAUUGGUAAAUAUCAUUCUGAGGGGUUAGCUAUUAUUAACUUCCACUUCCUGAUACUCCAAACCAUAACUAUCAGAAAAACUACAAAACAUUAUCAUAAUUUCUACUUUGCGGCUCUCAGUGUUCAACAGCGACUACACAUUCUCUCCUAUGAGUAGUCAUUCUUCUGCUGAAAGUAAGUGUAGGGAGUCCUACUCUGAGGUGGAAGUGUUUUAGUCAUACAGUAGUUAAACUUUCAGCACAAUUCCAAUUCCUGUGGUUGUGAUUUAAAAACUCAGAUAAACCAUUAAGGAAAAUCACCACAAGACUAACAUUUUAAACAUGGAUUAGUCAGUUAUCCAAAUAACUAGGGAUUUGGAUAACACAUGUCCAAAUAACUCUAAUCAACAUCAAGGAAAGACUUAUUAACAAAUAGAUUUGGAUAAAUACAUUUUUCUACUUAGGCCCACAAUUCCUUGCAACCAGCACACAACUCUCAGUGGAACAACUCCUGCUGGAAGAACAUAAAGGGUUAACUAUCUCUUGUCCAAGUCCGCGCAGAAAAUCAUUAAUGACCGAUAUACAGUACUUUGAUUAUUUCAUGUUCAAAAUUAGAAGGGUUUUGAAUCCUAAAAAAGUCCCUGAAACAACAUUUUGACUCAGUGCACAAAAAGUGAUAUAAUGUUAAUGUUGUUUAUUUAUCAUAUAAUGUUAAAUAAAUAUAAUGAGGCAAUGUAAGAUGUCAAGAUAUAAAACGUUUUGUUCACAGAGUUCAUUCAUUCAGAAGCUGGAGCUGAAAAGAAAUACUGUAUCUACUAGGCUGGAGGAUGCCAGGAGGAUCACUGAGAUCACUGACCUGCAUUAUAUAAAAAGAUUCCUACCAUUGUAAAUCAGAUACAAAAAUAAGGUUUUCUUGUUCCAAUAUGGUGGUGUAAUAUAAAACAGUACUGAAGCUGUCAACUGCCAGAUAACAAGGAUGGCGAUACUACAGUUCAUACAUCUUUGUUUUGCUUAAACAAAUUAUGAUAGUGCUGAGAUUAAUUAUACCUGCAAUGCAUUCUUACUUAUUUCAAGUAUUUUAAUUCAUUUGAAGCUAUUUUUUGCAAAAAAGAAAGUCCUUGAAACAACUUGUUUCAUCCUUUACUAAUUUCUUUUUUCAGUAUAGAUAUAGCCACUAAACUAUAUUUAGAUAUAGUUUUGGGUGAUGUGAUGACAUCAACCCUUUUUAUUCCGUGGAAGAAAAUGAUUUGGGAUAAUGAUGCUGGAGCUGUGAAGGGUCUGGAAAGAGUUAGUGGAGCUUUAACUUAAGCUCAUUACAGUUGUCCAAACAAAAGUUAAGACUAAUUUGGACGCAUACCAUCCUGUACCAUGAGCUCAUUAUACACUGGCUUCAAAUCAGCCCAUUGCUAAUUGCUAUCUCCCUUUCUGUCCCGUCUUUGCUCUCUUUCUCCACGUUAUGGCAUCCAAUAAACAUGAAAUGCCACACGUAUUUUGGAGUGAGGAAGUGACUCUUAAGAAAUGGCAUUUAAAAAAACUAAACAAAUUAUAGCUGCAAGCAGCAAUAAGGCAACCUAGUUCCAGACGUGCAUAUUAGUAGUAGUGAAGGGGAAAAAAGCUGAUUUAAAGGUUUUAGUAGUUGUACAGAAUUCAUUGUUAUAGAGUUAAAUAUGAAACACUUGGUUUUUUCAAAUAAGUUUUCAAAUUCAGAAAAAAAUGUUUCCACAAUUAAGUCAUUUAGCAUCACUUCAGAAGGAUUUGUCACUAUAAGGGUUUCAAGUGUACCCCGUUAGGUUACCUUGACUUUAUUGAGCAUGUACAUGUCAGUCAGUCAGCCAGUCAGUAAGGUCGUGUUCAGACAGACACCCGCACUGCAUUGGCAACACAGGGUCAUCCAGCAAAAAAGUUGGGCUCAACUUUUACCACAACACAAUGCAGCUCCAGCCAGCAAGGUGCUGCGUUGGCCAGUCCAACAUGUGCAAGCAUCUCAACUAAAAUGAUUGCCACCGUGAUAACUUUCCAACUUCAACUUCAUUAUUAAGGAUUAGAUUAUUUUUAUUAUAGUCAAGGACAUAAAAACAAUACAAAAAUAUUUAUUAAAAAUAAUAAAUAAAUAUAUCAAAUAUCAAAUUCCUUAUAAAGUGGAUGAUCAGGAGAGUUAAGAAUAAAUUACUGAUGGCCCCAUCAACGCAGCCCAUUGAGUUUUUUCAACGCAGGGCUGUUUGUGGUCAUUCUCCCAGACCACAUCGCCUCUACAGUCUGACAGACCAACAUUUGAGUCAUAGAUUCAUGAGUUUGAGGAGAUUCAUCACGUUAUUCUCAGAUGCUUAGACCAGCAGGUAAAUAGUAUAAACAGUUCACAUCACAAAGUGUUCACAUAACCAGAAAUGUGUGCUUACACAGGUUUUUUUUACCCAGUGCUUUUGUCUGUCUGAACACUGCCUUAUUACACAUGGAAAAUUAAAGAAACAAAUCUGAAUAGAUUCACACUCACACAUCAUUUGGGACUGGAUUGUUGGUGUUUUUGUUCAUCAGAGAGCAGUUUUAGUAAACAGAAAGAAAGCUACUAGAUAUUUGUGUCUGGUUGCCUAAUAAAAAAUCAAGGUGAUAUACUGUAGUAGGUGGACAGAGUACAGGGACUUUGUGUGCUGUGACUGUGAAUACAACACUGGAGCUUGUUAGUAGUCUGGCAGGGCUGUAAUUUAUUGUUGCUCAGUGAGUAAAAGCUACAAAACAAAAUGGAACAUCCUGAUAUUAAAGCUAAACACAAAUUCGCCUGAACUGUUAGGAUUUUGAUUAAAUAAAAAUACGAAAUAAUAAAAUACAUUUUGCUUAACACAAUCUUUUUUUUAACCAUAUUUGUGUGAUGUGUGAAACUAGUUGUGCAAACUAGGAAGAGAGGACCAUCAUUUUCAAAUAACUGUGCAGUCUCAGCUCAGUACAGCUCAUUACAUUAAGAAAAAAAAUCUAACUAAAAAGCACCUCAGGGCUCCAGACAGCAGCACAAGGAGCUGACGGGAAAAAAGAGGCACCUGGCCUACUUUCCAAAACUUACCCAGAAUUUUAAAGUAAAUCACAUUCGAUUAAUCAGAGGUGAAAAAAAACUCCUUUCCUGUGAUAGGCGAGUGUCUGCCCUGCCUGCAUCAGUACUGGAUCUUUUCAUCUUCUCAGCGGCUGCCACACCUCUGCCACAUUAACACGUUUAGAAAGAGGGAAAGAAAGAGAAAAGGAAGGGAGAAAAGAGGAGAGUGAGAGAAGAGUGAGACACAGCCUAAAAAGAUUGAGGAAAAGGCGAACAACAAAGAGAGAGCAUGACUUUGACACAGUAGAUUAAAAAAGAAUAACAGGCUCGAAAAGUGUCACAUCUAAUAGGGACACGACACAUCAAACCUCCUAUGAGACGCCAAGCUGUCAGACAGGAACAACGCUCUCUAAAAACAGAAUGAGCUGCGUCUUUGCAGCACUAAUCAGAGCCGACGUUGGGAAUACAACUCCUCGGUUGUAAUCUAUUUGCAGCAUAAGCUAAGCUUCAUUUAUAGGAGAUUUCAUUUGCAGCGUGUUUGUCUUUCUGAAACUACAAUUUGGUUGAGUUAAUGAGCUCGACAUAUUGUACAGCUCAGGACAACAGCGAGACAUCAGAGCUUAUCGGGGGCUCACUGUUACAAGCACAAUAAUAUUUAAUCUAUAGAGAAUGACAAAUGAUCUGUUUACAUCAUUAAUGAGACAUGCACCAAAGCAUGUAAUGGGUAACAUGGGAAUUGGGAAAGUUUCCAAUAUAAACUUGCUUUAAUUCUGUGAAUUUGGACUUAACUGGACACUAACACCUGUAGAAAGAUUAUCAAGUAGAAAGUAGUCAGAAUAAGCUGCAAUAAUGUGUCUAUUAGCUGUUCAUUCUCCUAUUAAAAGCAUGUCAUGCCUUUCAUUUUGAACAAAAUCUCAUCUGAAAUAACCCGGUCUGGGAAGACAUUUAACUGAAAACGUACUGGAAAGAAGGCAAAAUGGCCACUGCGUAGAAAUGCAGUGAAAACAAGCAAAGCCAGGAAUCUUGGGAGAGAAAACAAGGAAAUGUAUGAGUCAAAAUGUACAGCUGGGUAAAGCAACUCUCAAGUCAAAAGGUGAUUUGAUAUGCAUCAGAUUUUCAUUACUAAUCCAUUGUCUUAAGUUAUAGCUUCAGCACUGAGCAGUUUCAUGGUUAAAGCACCCCUUUAGUAGCUGGAUGUGCAGCAUGCUCUCAUCACUGAUACCAUGUCAUGUUCAGGGCUAUGUAGCUCCAAUACUGAGCUCUCUGGCCAAAGUGUUCCUCUCUGAGCAGCACAGUCAGAUGCAGACAGAAGUCCACCCGAGGGACAGUUAAGCACAGCUCUGAGCGGCCUCAUCCACAGCCGUUGGAGAAUGUCUCAGCUAUGACAUUUCUGGGACUUCCUUCAGCAUUAAGGGCCAAUGCUCACUCUCUGUGGAACCAACUGUCACUGUCCCGCAGAAACCUAGUAUGGAAAAUAUCCACUUUAUUUUUAAUUUGUUUUUUACCUCAACAUCAUUUUAACAUAGAGAAAAUUCAAUAAAAGAACAGUUUUGGGAACAUUUAGGAAAAUAUGCUUAUUCCAAUCCAGCUGCGUACUUAACGCACAGACAUGAAAGUGGUUUGAAUCUUUUAAUCUAACUCUAUUAUUCUGUAAUUCCCAAAAAUGUCAAAUUAUUUAACUCUGGUACGAACUCAAUGCACUAAGUUUGUACCAGUUAUAUAGAUAUUAAUUUAUAGACAACUAUUCAAAAUCAUGCACACACGCAAAAAAACGUUUUUUUCUUCAGAUUGUUUUGGGUUAAGAAGAUGACAUAUUCAUUUGAUACAAGUUUGCAUUUCACAUUUCCGUGAUCAACUACUACAACUAUUGUAUUACAAUGAUUAACCGUUGGCAGAAAAUUAAUUAAUGUUGCUAAAAGCAAAAAUGCCAAAUAUUCAGUGGUUUCAGUCUCUGAAAUGUGAGAAUUUAUUGCCUUUCUCUGUUUUAUAUCAUUGUAAAUUGAAUAUCUUUGGUUUUGGACAGUUGGUCAGACAAAUUGAGCAAUCUGAGAACGUCACAUUAGAAUCUGGGCAACUGCAAUGAGCAUUUUUCACCAAUUUUUUUCAACAUUUUAUGGUUUAACAAGUAACUGAUAAAUUAAAAAAGAUAUCUGAUAGAUUAAUCAAUGAAAUUAAAUGAAAAUAUAUAAGUUGCAGCACUAAUAAUGAGCAAUACAUUCUGAAGGACACUCAUUAAAUACAACUAAGUCUAACCAGCAGGAUUCAGUAUCUAUCUGGACUACAGCUGUCAUCUGCAGUGCAGCCAACCAAUACAAACCACACUGAGAAAAAACCAUUUACUUUUAUGCUGUUCUACCUGAGUGUAAGGGUAUUAGCGUGUUUGUGUAUAUGUGAGUGUUUACAUAUUUAAUUCGACACUGCCCACAGGUAUGAAGCUGUUCAGCUCAGCAGAGCUUUGUAAAUACCAUGCAGGGCCUCAAAGAUGGCCAAGAGCCUAUUAUUUGGCCAUGAAAGACAGACAUGUGAAUCACUGGCAGCCAGCUAAAGAAGGGAAAGAGCAUGAUUGGAUUCAAGCAAAGUGUGCCUGUCAGUGUGUGUGUGUGUGUGUGUGUGUGUGUGUGAACGCCAAACAAUACUUUGAACGACUACACAUGUGUAUGCCAGUUAAUUUGGCUCGAGUUUGGGUAAUUGUAGUUGCGGAACCAACCAGUCGACAGAGUCAUUCACAGGCUACAAUCGAACACAAAUAAACACACCAUGUCUGUGUCCAUAUACAUACACACCCACUGUGUAGGAAAGAGGCUCUCCACAGUGGUGCAAUUAGGCCUGGUCACUGCAGAGUCGUAAUGGAUAACCCUGUCUGAAAAUGGCCGGGGGUAGCACACAUAAUUGAGCAUGCUGUGUCUCUGUGCUUGCAUGUGUGUGUGCUUCACAAGGGAGGGCUGCAAAAAUGGCAUUUCUUGCUGCUAGCAGGACCUAAUGAAUGUGGAGUUUGAAGCCUCGUGCCUUCAUAUGUGGAUACUGGGUGGUCCGGGGUUGGAAAUCAGAAGCGUGUGUAACACUUAGCAUUAAAAGAGUAAACUUUAGCCUUUUUAGUCUUCACAUAUAUUCAUAGAACUAAAAAAGCUCUCUGCUUAUAUAGUACAACAUACGGUGUAGGUGCAUAAAAUGUAAAGGAAUGGGCAUUUUUAUAUAUUUGUAUGCUCUUCUGUUGUUGUCUACAAUGCUUGUAUAGACUUUGUUACAGCUAGGGUUGAGUUUAGAUAACCAGUCACAUUUUAGAUUGAGAUCCAAGUUGAAAACAUUCCAAAAUGUGUUCAGCUCCGAGUCUAAAGCCUAAAGUCUAAAGCUUUGUCAUUCAGACAUACAGUAUGUGUCCAUUAUGUAAAUGUUUAUUAUGGCUUUAUUUCGACAUGACAGGACCUUUAUGGAAAGAGCCACAAUGCUGGUGCAAUAUUUGGAACCUGGUGCAGAGAGGGAGUGGUGCUAGAGAACAGCGAUGAGUUAAAAAGUGUCUGUCAAGGAGGAGGUUUGUUUUCUGUCUUCUCACAGGCUGCAUCAGUGAGAUUUUAAAACUUAUUUUGCCGUUUUCCCUCACUUCUUACUUGUAAAUCCCUUUAUACAUUUUCUCAUCAAUUUCACCAUUUAUUAGAUAGUGAAUUCUGCUGUCCCACUGUGCACAAGCAUAGAAUGACACAACAUUAAUUUGGGUCUCUCAUUUAAUUCCUGUUUGCUCAUACAUAGUAUGUAAAGCAUUACGGGUAUUCAUAAUUUCAUCCAUGCAGUUGGCAUGGAUUAUGGAUUAUUACUGCACCGCGAGGGGAAAAAACAAUUUUUAUAGACAUGAGGAGAAUCUCCGCAGGGUUUCUAGGUUAAUCAAACUGAUUUUAUUUUCUUUGUGCAUAAGAGAUGAUAGCUGACUGACUGCAUUUAUUGCUAUGCUGUUAAUGAGGCAUAACAAGGCAUGCGUUUAAUCUCUCUCUGUGUAUUUAUCCUUGUGUUGCUGUGGCCUUUACGAUAAUGUAUAUAUGUAACAUGAAUAUGUUACCAAGUCUGACCUAAUAAGAUUGCCGUUGUGACUCAAGCACUUAGUAAUAUAUUCAUUUUUGAAAGGGGCUUGGCAAAUCUCUUGACAAUUUUUUUUUAAAUUUCAAAUCUGUUUAAGUAACAAAGAGCAAUAUACAAUAAAUCCAGAUUGCCAUUCAGCUAAAUAUCCCGUAUGUAAUCUAUCUUUGUUUGUGUAAAAUGAAAAAAAUAAGAACUAAACUUAGAACUAAAACUAAAGUUAUUUAUAAUGUUUUACUUAGAAUUAUAUAAAUAAUUUGAAUUGAAACUACGUGAUGCUUAUAUUGAGAGAAAUAUUUAAACCCAGCAAUGUUUUUAUGACUGCACUAUUAAAUCAAAUAAAAAUA